GACGAACGCUGGCGGCGUGCUUAACACAUGCAAGUCGAACGGAAAGGCCCUGCUUUUGUGGGGUGCUCGAGUGGCGAACGGGUGAGUAACACGUGAGUAACCUGCCCUUGACUUUGGGAUAACUUCAGGAAACUGGGGCUAAUACCGGAUAGGAGCUCCUGCUGCAUGGUGGGGGUUGGAAAGUUUCGGCGGUUGGGGAUGGACUCGCGGCUUAUCAGCUUGUUGGUGGGGUAGUGGCUUACCAAGGCUUUGACGGGUAGCCGGCCUGAGAGGGUGACCGGCCACAUUGGGACUGAGAUACGGCCCAGACUCCUACGGGAGGCAGCAGUGGGGAAUAUUGCACAAUGGGCGGAAGCCUGAUGCAGCAACGCCGCGUGCGGGAUGACGGCCUUCGGGUUGUAAACCGCUUUCGCCUGUGACGAAGCGUGAGUGACGGUAAUGGGUAAAGAAGCACCGGCUAACUACGUGCCAGCAGCCGCGGUGAUACGUAGGGUGCGAGCGUUGUCCGGAUUUAUUGGGCGUAAAGGGCUCGUAGGUGGUUGAUCGCGUCGGAAGUGUAAUCUUGGGGCUUAACCCUGAGCGUGCUUUCGAUACGGGUUGACUUGAGGAAGGUAGGGGAGAAUGGAAUUCCUGGUGGAGCGGUGGAAUGCGCAGAUAUCAGGAGGAACACCAGUGGCGAAGGCGGUUCUCUGGGCCUUUCCUGACGCUGAGGAGCGAAAGCGUGGGGAGCGAACAGGCUUAGAUACCCUGGUAGUCCACGCUGUAAACGGUGGGUACUAGGUGUGGGGUCCAUUCCACGGGUUCCGUGCCGUAGCUAACGCUCUAAGUACCCCGCCUGGGGAGUACGGCCGCAAGGCUAAAACUCAAAGGAAUUGACGGGGCCCCGCACAAGCGGCGGAGCAUGCGGAUUAAUUCGAUGCAACGCGUAGAACCUUACCUGGGUUUGACAUGGAUCGGGAGUGCUCAGAGAUGGGUGUGCCUCUUUUGGGGUCGGUUCACAGGUGGUGCAUGGCUGUCGUCAGCUCGUGUCGUGAGAUGUUGGGUUAAGUCCCGCAACGAGCGCAACCCUUGUUCACUGUUGCCAGCACGUUAUGGUGGGGACUCAGUGGAGACCGCCGGGGUCAACUCGGAGGAAGGUGGGGAUGACGUCAAGUCAUCAUGCCCCUUAUGUCCAGGGCUUCACGCAUGCUACAAUGGCUGGUACAGAGAGUGGCGAGCCUGUGAGGGUGAGCGAAUCUCGGAAAGCCGGUCUCAGUUCGGAUUGGAGUCUGCAACUCGACCUCAUGAAGUCGGAGUCGCUAGUAAUCGCAGAUCAGCAACGCUGCGGUGAAUACGUUCCCGGG
rnacentral:rRNA from 1 species